rnacentral:rRNA from 1 species
CGUAGACUGAGAGUUUGAUCCUGGCUCAGGAUGAACGCUGGCGGCGUGCUUAACACAUGCAAGUCGAACGAACCUUCGGGUUAGUGGCGGACGGGUGAGUAACGCGUGAGAAUCUGCCCUCAGGAGGGGGAUAACGGCUGGAAACGGCCGCUAAUACCCCAUAUGCCGAGAGGUGAAAUGAAUUUCGCCUGAGGAUGAGCUCGCGUCUGAUUAGCUUGUUGGUGGGGUAAUGGCCUACCAAGGCGACGAUCAGUAGCUGGUCUGAGAGGAUGAUCAGCCACACUGGGACUGAGACACGGCCCAGACUCCUACGGGAGGCAGCAGUGGGGAAUAUUGCACAAUGGGCGGAAGCCUGAUGCAGCCAUGCCGCGUGUGUGAAGAAGGCUUUCGGGUUGUAAAGCACUUUCAGUCGGGAGGAAAGGGUAACGUUUAAUACGCGUUAUCUGUGACGUUACCGACAGAAGAAGCACCGGCUAACUCCGUGCCAGCAGCCGCGGUAAUACGGAGGGUGCGAGCGUUAUCCGGAAUUAUUGGGCGUAAAGCGUCCGCAGGCGGUCUGUCAAGUCUGCUGUUAAAGCGUGGAGCUUAACUCCAUUUCGGCAGUGGAAACUGACAGACUAGAGUGUGGUAGGGGCAGAGGGAAUUCCCGGUGUAGCGGUGAAAUGCGUAGAUAUCGGGAAGAACACCAGUGGCGAAGGCGCUCUGCUGGGCCAUAACUGACGCUCAUGGACGAAAGCCAGGGGAGCGAAAGGGAUUAGAUACCCCUGUAGUCCUGGCCGUAAACGAUGAACACUAGGUGUCGGGGGAAUCGACCCCCUCGGUGUCGUAGCCAACGCGUUAAGUGUUCCGCCUGGGGAGUACGCACGCAAGUGUGAAACUCAAAGGAAUUGACGGGGGCCCGCACAAGCGGUGGAGUAUGUGGUUUAAUUCGAUGCAACGCGAAGAACCUUACCAGGGUUUGACAUCCUGCGAAUCUCUUGGAAACGAGAGAGUGCCUUCGGGAACGCAGUGACAGGUGGUGCAUGGCUGUCGUCAGCUCGUGUCGUGAGAUGUUGGGUUAAGUCCCGCAACGAGCGCAACCCACGUCGUUAGUUGCCAGCAUUUAGUUGGGCACUCUAGCGAGACCGCCGGUGAUAAACCGGAGGAAGGUGUGGAUGACGUCAAGUCAUCAUGCCCCUUACAUCCUGGGCUACACACGUACUACAAUGCUACGGACAAAGGGCAGCAAACUCGCGAGAGCUAGCAAAUCCCAUAAACCGUGGCUCAGUUCAGAUCGUAGGCUGCAACUCGCCUACGUGAAGGAGGAAUCGCUAGUAAUCGCAGGUCAGCAUACUGCGGUGAAUACGUUCCCGGGCCUUGUACACACCGCCCGUCACACCAUGGAAGUUGGCCACGCCCGAAGCCGUUACUCCAACCCUUGUGGAGGAGGACGUCGAAGGUGGGGCUGAUGACUGGGGUGAAGUCGUAACAAGGUAACC